GAUGAACGCUGGCGGCGUGCCUAAUACAUGCAAGUCGAGCGAACGGACGAGAAGCUUGCUUCUCUGAUGUUAGCGGCGGACGGGUGAGUAACACGUGGAUAACCUACCUAUAAGACUGGGAUAACUUCGGGAAACCGGAGCUAAUACCGGAUAAUAUUUUGAACCGCAUGGUUCAAAAGUGAAAGACGGUCUUGCUGUCACUUAUAGAUGGAUCCGCGCUGCAUUAGCUAGUUGGUAAGGUAACGGCUUACCAAGGCAACGAUGCAUAGCCGACCUGAGAGGGUGAUAGGCCACACUGGAACUGAGACACGGUCCAGACUCCUACGGGAGGCAGCAGUAGGGAAUCUUCCGCAAUGGGCGAAAGCCUGACGGAGCAACGCCGCGUGAGUGAUGAAGGUCUUCGGAUCGUAAAACUCUGUUAUGAGGGAAGAACAUAUGUGUAAGUAACUGUGCACAUCUUGACGGUACCUAAUCAGAAAGCCACGGCUAACUACGUG
rnacentral:rRNA from 1 species